CCUGGGUCCAGUUUUAUGGUGCCUUCCAAUGAAACUCGUGAGCUUGUGUUUAUAACAUGGGAAGUUGUGUACGCAAUAUGCUCGGCGUUCAAGUGGUUAAGUCGUGAGAACAAGCUUCCCACCAGUAUGUAAAGUAAUAUGAUGAAAACAGAAAUGUGUCUGGAGAGGGAGGAAGAAAUACACACUCCAAAGAUGCUACCACUUACCAGCCUGCAGUGUUCCAGAACAGUAGCUGAUGCAGGAGGCUGAUAUGAGGCUGAGAGAGGACCCGAGGAGGCUCUAUUAUGUUUCCAAAACCUCGCUCGCUGUUGGAAAGGGGAGAGUUCAGUUUAAUUAGGGACGUUGAAUGUUGCUUUUUAUGAGGCCUGGAGGGGCUGCUCUGCUCCUCUUCCUUCUGCAUACUUAAAGAUCCCAACACUUUUGUUGAGAGGAACGAAAGAAAAACCUGCAAAUAAAAGCUUUGA